GGCAACCGGCUCGGGUCUCCUUACGCACUGUGGAAGCUUUGUUCCUUCGCUCUUUGCAAUAAAUCUUGCUACUGCUCACACUUUGGGUCCACACUGCCUUUAUGAGCUGUAACACUCACCGGGAAGGCCUGCAGCUUCACUCCUGAGCCAGCGAGACCACGAGCCCACCAGGAGGAACGAACAACUCCAGAGGCGCCGCCUUAAGAGCUGUAACCCGGCAAAGGUCUGCAGCUUCACUCCUGAGCCAGGGAGACCACGAACCCACCAGAAGGAAGAAACUCCAAACACAUCCGAACAUCAGAAGGAACAAACUCCAGACGCGCCACCUUAAGAGCUGUAACACUCACUGGGAGGGUCCGCGGCUUCAUUCUUGAAGUCAGUGAGACCAAGAACCCACCAAUUCCGGACACAUAACCACUAUGCUAGACCAGAUACAGGAAAUCUUCAUAACCUCAGGAAGUUCUCCUGUGCCUCUUUGCAGUCACUUCCUCUCCGUGUCUUCCUCCCACCCCCGCCAUCUGAGGCAACCACAACUGGAAUUUCUAUCAUAUUGUGUUAAAUUACUACUUCUAGAAAUUCAUGUAAAUGAAAUCAACCAGAAUGUGAUGUUUUCAGAUAUAUGAUCUCUGGUUGUUUUGUGAUCCCAGGAUCUACUGAGAUGUAUAGCAUAAGAAGUUAUACACAUCCUGGAUUUUAAAGAAGAAAAACAGGUCCUCACUGCCCUAUAGGACAAACCAGAACACGACGGCCAGGAUUCAGCUCCUAACCAAUCAAAUAGAGGAUUCAAAAAUACCCAAUCAAGAGGAGGAUUGAAAAACAGACUCUUCUGAAUGGACAAAGGGAGAAUAUGGGAGGGAACAACAUGGGAAUAUAAGUCAGACUAGCAACGGCACCCUCUUCCGGGUCCCCUUCCACCACGUGGAAGCUUUACUUUUGGUUUGCUCAAUAAACUGCGCUGCUGCACACUCUUCUGGCCUGUGAAUUUCUUUGAGCUGUAACACUCACUGCGGGACCGUGGCCCACUAUUCCAUUCUUCGGAGUCAGCAAGGCCAAGAACCUAAGCUCAACUCCAGUUACACAAGCAGGUAAUUAAACCGGCCCAGCAGAGUAGGUGACAUUAGAAACAGUGGAAAGCAAGUAGAUUCCAGAUAUAUUUAGACAAAAGGAUUAUAUUCAGAUUAAUUCUCCAGAGUGAAUUCUGUGUCUUAUACACUUAAGGAUCCACAGUAAAUGUUCACCAAUCGUGCUGAGCACAUCACCUACCGAACAUUUUUUGAUUUAUCUAGCUUCUUGCUUUUUUGUAGAAAACCAAGAAAAGACUGCACAGAACAUUCUUUCUCAAGUAAAAAGUAAGCUCAAAGCUAAAUUACACAAAGCAGGUAACUAAUUAAGAAACAAUUGUUUAGACAACUGUUGUAAAUCUCCACUUUUCCUGGUUAACAGUGGAAGGCAGAGUAUUUGUUUUGAUAUGUAUAACGUUUCCUGUGGGGAAAAACAAUAAAAAAGUGUCUGGAAGUCAUAAAGUUGGAUAGUGCUAUCUGAGACACCCUUUCAACAAUGAAAAUUAUAACCAUAUGACUCCUCCAUCAGCUAACAGCUGUUGGAAAAAGGCCUAAGCCUUUCUUUCUGUGUACUGAGUCCAAUUAAGCUGUAAAAUCCUGACAUACUAAAUUGGUCUGUGGCCCAUAUUUUGAAGAGCUUUAAAUAAUUACUUACUCCUGCUGGAGAAGCUCAGUUUUUAAAGACAUUUGGGUUAUUUAAUUGGGUGGCAUUCAUCCUUGCACUUAUAGUUUCUACUAGGGGUGAUGUGGUUGUGAUAAAUCCAUUAUAAAUUGAUUCUAUGAAGACAAUCCUUAAAAGCUAACACUUCCUUAAAAGCUCCAGGGAUUAUGUGUCUGUAGCUUGAAGAAAUGACCAGUAGAUGGGGCUCGGAAUAAUAAAAUUGUAGCCAAAAAUAAAUAAAUAAAUAAAAAGUAAAAUGAUCAAUUUAUGUAUUGUUUAGUCACAAAUUCUUAUUGAGCCACCACUGUGCAUCUUGGAUUAUGCUAGGCACUAGGAGUACAAGAAAUUAAAAAAAAUAUGGUUUAUUAAGGUAUACGGAUAUAUUUUUUAAAAUUAUAAUCAUGGCAAUGAGUCUAAAUUAGAAGCAUGCUGAUGUUACAGUGUUGACGCAAAGAAAGAAGUGGUCAUUUAUCUGAGGUUAGAAUUAAAAUGUUUAUGGAAGCCUGUCAUUUGAGCUGAGUGUUAAAAUGAGUGUAUUUAGUAUGAAAGGGAGAAGGCAUGCAUUUGAGACAGAGGGAUCAGUAUAUGCAAAGCACAGCAGAUUGAACUUUAUAUGCUUUCGGAAAGAAAUACGAUUUUGGCUAGGUUGAAGUAACCAGAAAAGAGGAAGUUAACCAUUAAAGAAAUUAUGGGAAACAAAGACCCAAGGAGGCCAAGGGAAGCAAAGAGUUUAGCGAUAGUUAAGGCUGGAAUAAGCAUGGACACAAUCAGAAAAGACAAAGUAAACCAUUAAAGAACCACAAAUUCAAAUGAAUUCAUGGGUUAGGCAGAAAGGUGUCUAACAUGAAGAAUGCCAGGAGGUAAGAUAUAGGAAACUGUUUAGUUCUGUAUUGAAGGGGAUGAGUGAAGCCACUAAUUGAAUACAUUCAAAUCUAAUGUUUUUAAAACACCAAAAAGUGCCAAACAAAAUGUAUCUGAAGAAUGAAUGGAUUAAGAGUUUUAAACUCCUACGUUAUCUUAAGGUGCUGAGAUAAUUAACAAACAAAUUCAAGGAGAGUGACAUGAUCAGAUUUAGUUUUAAAACAGUCACCAUGGCUAUAGAGUGAGGAACAAACUGAGAUGAUACAUCUAUGGAGGAGGAGAAAUGAUAUCCUACAUGCCUGAUAGGUCUACCAGAAUAAUUGUUAAAAAAAUUAGUGCCCAUCUAGUAGGCUAUUAUAAAAGAUAAGGUGGUAGAUUGGACUGAGAUCAAUGGUGAUAGCAAUAAGUAUAUAUUUCUAAGAACCACUUAAAAUACACAAUUUUUAAAAAAUGUGAUAAUAUGAUAAGAUGUGGUGGAGAAAGGGAUGAAAGAAAGCUCCCUAUUUUACAGCUAUAAUUACAAUCAAAUAUAUUGUUUGUUCAAAAGGGCAUGUCAGAUUAGCAUAUUUUAAAAGGAAAAACGCUGCCAGAGGUUAACAGCUUAAAUCAAAACCUAAAGUACUCAGAUGAAAAUGAGAAAGUCAGAUUUUAAUUAGUUCCUUUUUUGACUUUUAAUAUUUGAGGCAUUGGAAGGCAUGCAAGUGGAGACACCUCUGGGCCUGUAGUGUCUGUAGAGAGCUGUAUUUAGAGAUAUGGAGUACAAAAUGAGGAUAUUUAAUUUGGGGUUAGUGGUAUGAAGGUAGGUAAAGCUAUGGAAGUGCAUGGGCUAUUUCCAAGGGCAGUAACAGAGUGAGACCACAAAAGAGCUUAGUAUGGAACCUUGAAUAACAACAAACUUAAAGGAAGAUCAGAUGGUGAAGAACUGACACAAAACUGAAAGAAGUCCAUUGAAAUGAUGGGAAACAAAGACCUACGGAGGCCAGGGAACAAUGGCUUCUUCCCAAAAGAGAACUCACUCAGAUUGUGAAAUGUUUCAGAGUGCUACACAAGUUAAACAGAGACUGAAAAGUGUCCAUUGUGUUCAAGAACAAGGAGCCUGGAGAAGGUUGCAGCAAGUUGAGUUUUCAGCAAGCGGUAGGGUAGUAAAACAGAUUAUGAUUUAAAUUUGAAUGGCAAGUGUGAAAAUGUCGAUGGAAAGUAGAAGCAUCACAAACAAAAGUUUGGAUGGGAAGAGAAUUUAGAACAAGAGCAGAAAAGGAUAUUAACAGACAACUUUGAAAUAAUGAGAUCAUUUUUAAUGGGAGGGAAGGUUUACAUAAAGAAAUUAGAACUAUAGAUAUAUCAAGACCUGUAUUCAAUUAGUGGUUUAAUUAUUUAAAAACAUUUUUUCUGCUUCUCUUAAGCAGUAACCAUUGCAAACUACUCAUUUUGAAAUCCACUUAAUCUCUAAGCCUCCUUUGUAGGAAUUCUUCUGUCAUCAUCCCAGCACCUAUAAGGAACUAACUAACAUAAUUGGGAGGGGGUAGGAGAGUUUUGAAAAACUGUGUGAUCAACGUGUGUACUACAAUACGUGGAAGAACAUUGCCAAAGGUUAGGUGAUUUAAAUCAACACCGAAUGUACACAGUUGAUGAUUAGAAAGUCAAAUUUUAAUUAAAUCCUUAUGGAUUUGUGAAAAUUCUUAAUUAUUGUUGCUGUUUUAUCCUUAACUAAAUUUCACUCUAUUGAAGUACAGCAGAGCCUUCAGUCUCCUGGUGGAAUGCAUGUAACCUGAGCAAUUCAUUAUAAAGCAGUUUCUCUAGGAGAGCUUAGAAGUGUCAGAAUUUAUGAACAUCCAAGCCCAUUUGAUUUGAUUUUGUCUCUGGAGCAUGUUUGCUAAUGCACAAAUAUUAUUCAUUAAUGUGCUAAGGGGUGUUCGCUAAAGCUGAGUGGUGGAAUUACCUUAACUUUAGCAGAAAAGCUAUCACUCUUUUCAAGCAAAGAAUGCUGAUGAGAAAAGUCUCCCAAAGAGUUGUGAUGGUGUAGAACAGCCCCAAUAAAUAAAGUGCAUGUUACUGCUUUUGUUAAUGCCCAUGGGAAAAUAAUUACAUCUACAUCUUUUCCAUUAAUCUGUUUGGGAGAUUUUAUGUCUAAUGAAAAUGAUGGAGAAAUUCAAAAGUGGGCCUGAAGAAUGAUUAACUUUUAAGUCCCUUGUUAUUAUUCCUUUUAGUCAAGAAGAAAAGAAAUGGGCUGUCUAAACUCUGGCAGUAUGAACUCUAAUUUUGUCAUACUGUUUAGUGCGUAGGAAAAAAUACUGCUCCCUUACUUUAUAUGUAACAAGAUAAAAAUAUAUGUAUCAUGUAAGAAAAGCCCAGAAGUUGCCAGUUUAGGGCUGGCAUAGCAGCUUCAUGUUAACUGGGACCCAGGAUCCUCCAUUCUUAUUGCUCUGCCAUCCCGAGAAUGUUGUCUCAAGAUUGCUGACUUAAAACAGCUCCUUGUGCUCCUACUAUCACAUUCAUAUUCCAAGUAGAAGAAAGGAGAAAGGGAAAAAAGAGAAGUGUACCUUCUCCCUUUUCUAAAUUUACAGUUCAUUAAAAUAUCACAUAAUAAAGAAACACACUCAAUGUACAGCUUGAUAAAUUCUCACAAAGUAAAGACAAACUUUUAACCGUCACCUAGAUCGAGAUAUGGAACACUAUCAACACUCUAGAAGACACUCUUAUGACCCUUCUCGUAAUUAUUCCCCUCAAAGGUAAUCAUUAUUCUGAAUUUCAAAACCAUAAGUUAAUUUUGCUUACUUUUGAAACUUACAUAACUGCAAUCAUAGUGUAUGUUCCUUGUUUUUCUCAAAACCAUGUUUGUGAUAUGUAUUUAUGGUUACUUCUAAUUAUAGUUUUUCUCUCAUUGAUAUAUGGCAUUGUACUGUAAAAAUAUACCACAAUUUAUCGGUCGAUUCUUCUAACAUUGGGUAGUUACUACAAUAGUGCUAUUUAUGAACAUUGCUUUAUGUGUCUUUGUAAACAUAUGUCUGUAUUUCUGUGGAGUAUAAUUAGAUUGAGAAGGCCAGAGUAUAACUUGUGUCUAUCAUCAGCUUUAGUAGCUAUUACUAAACAGUUUCAAGAGGUGUUGUACCAAUUUAUAUAACUUCCAUCAGUGUGUGGGAAUUACAGUUAUUUCAUAACCUCGGCAACACUUCACAUCAUCUUUCUUUGUAAUUGUUAGCAAUUCUGAUAGGUUUUCAGAUUUUAAUUCACAUUUCUCUGGUGUCUAUGCAUGAGGAUCUUUUCCAUAUAUUUAAUAAUUAUUUGAAUAUCUUCUUUUGAAAAGUGUCUGCAAAAGUUUUGGCCAAUUUUUCUUUUGAGUCUUUACUUUUUCUAUAGAUCUGUAAAAGUUCUUUGAAUAUCCUGGAUGUGAGUUCACUGUGGCAUAUAUGUUUUGAAAAUAUCCAUCAUAACUCUGUGGCCUGUAUUUUCAUUCUCUGAAACUUUUGAUUUCAUUUUAUUUUAAUCUAAGUUUUCAUUUUUAAUAAAUUUCAUUUCACCAAUAUUUUCCAGUAUAGGUAGUUCUUCUUGUGUUUCAUUUUUUAAAACUUUGCUUUCUUCAGAACUACCGUGAUAUUAUUACUGUUUUUGUCCAAAUAGCUAAUUAUUUUAACAUUUAUAUUUAGAUCUGUAAUCCAUCUGGAACUGGUUUUUAUCUGUGGUGUGAGGUAGAGGUAAAGUUUCAAUUUUUUUUUCCCAUAUGGAAACUCUAAUACAUUAGCAUCAUUUAUUGAAAGGCCUUCUUUGUCUUAUGCACUGCAGUGUUAUAAAGCAAGCAACUUUGUUAUAAAGCAAAUUAUUAUAUUUGUGUGAAUCUGCAUUGAAUCAGGUCUCUUUUCUCCCCAUUUCUUCUGUCUAUUGGACUUUCUAUGUACCAACAUAAUAUUAUCUAAAUUACUGUAGUUUCAUGACAAGUUUUGAUUUCUGGAAGCAUAAGUGCCCUGGCUUUGUUCUUCAAGAUUGUCUUGGCUAUUCUUAGCUCUUUGUAUUGCAAUGUAAGUUUCAAAAUAAGCUUGUAAAUUUGUAAGAAAAUAAUGGAGAGAUUUUGAUUAAGACUGCCUUGACUUUAUAGAUAAAUCUGAUGGAGAGUUGCUAUCUUUAUAGUUUUGAAUCUUCUAACCUGUGAACAUCGCAUUUGCUUCCAAUUAUGUAGUUUUCUUUAUCUCAGUGGUAUUUUAGGCCUUUUGUUGCUGUUUUUGUUGCUAGUUUGUUUUAGUGUAUAUGCCUCAUAUCUUUUACGAAAACAAUUAAUGGGUUAUAUUUAUUAUAAUAUAGCAAAUAUUAUCAUUUAAAAUUAACUUUCCUGUUUGUUACUAAUAUAUAGCAAUACAGUUGAUUCUACAUAUUUACAAUAUUUAGUGACCUUGUAAUAUUCCCAUAUGAAUUCACUUGGAUUUUUCUACCUGCAUCAUUAUGUCAUCUAUAAAUAAUUACAGUUUUAUAUUAUCUGUUUCAUUUAUUGUUUUACAUCCUAUUUUUAUCUUUCUCUAUUGCACAAUUCUAGCUUCUCAAAUUCAAGGUGGAUACAAAUGUUGGUAACACGUGUCGUUGUUUUUUCCUCCAGUUUAGGAAAAGCUCUAAAUAUUUCACCUUCAGUGUAAAGUGGUAUAAUUUUCACAGGUAACUGUUAAUCAGGGCAAAGAGUUUUCUUUUUAAUUUAAUUCAAUGAGUAGUUAUCAUGACUGAGUUUUUAAAUUUAACAAAUAAUUUUUAUUUACCUAUUAAGAUAAUCAUAUGAUUUUCUUCUUUAUUCAGUUAAUUUGAUAAAUUGUACUACUUAUAUUUUUAUUAUUAGGCUAAGUUAACAUUCCUCAAAUUAAAUUGUAGUGAAGAUUAAUGAAGUAAUAGGUUAUUAGGCAAUAUUUGAAUGUGAGAUGAGGCUGGUUAGACAGAUAAUAUAGCUCUACCUAUAGAUAUAAAUAAAGAUGUAUACCUUACCCGAACAGGGAGAUAAAUAUUACCAGAAUUACAGUGAUGUGUGUGACUCAGAGCCAUGAAUCCCAUAUCUGUAUUACUUUCUUCCAUCGUAUAAGCCAGGAUAUGGCAACCACCACCACCCGCCUCUUAAAAGCACACAUCCCACACAGAUAUAUCCUAAGUAGCAUUUCAUUUAUCUCUCUCCAAAACAAACUUGGCUUUUCAGGAAGUAUUGAAAACUGAUCAAAGUAGCAAGCACCAAAUUGCAACUUGAUGUGCUGUGUUUUCCAGAAAAAUGCCAUUUCCAGAAGAAUGCCAUUUUUUAAAGCAUCUGAAUUAUAAUUUUUUUAAAAAAAGAAAAGAAGAUACAGAUCUAUGAUAAAAGGAGAUUUUAUGUUAAAAAUGAAAUACUCCAACUCUAUAUUAGUUUUCUUAUUUUUAAAUUUGUGAGUUUUGAAGACCAGAAGAAUUGUGUUCUAAUAUAGGUUGUGCCCUGUCACUUGAUAAUUAAUGAGGCUUAAUUAGUCAUUCUCCUUUUGUGAACUACCAUUUCUUAAUUUGUUAACCAUGAAUAAUGCUAUCUUUUGUGAAAGGAAAAUAAAUCUUUGGGCCUCAAAAUCACUAAGCUAAAGAGGAAAGUCAAGCUGGGAACUGCUCAGGGAAAACCUGCCUCCCAUUCUAUUCAAAGUCACCCCCUUGCUCACUGAGAUCAAUGCAUAUCUGAUUGCCUCCUUUGGAGAGGCUAAUCAGAAACUCAAAAGAAUACAACAAUUUGCCUCUUAUCUAACUCUGACCUGGAAGUCCCCUCCCCUCUUCCAGUUGUCCCACCUUUGCUUCGAGUUGUCCUGCCUUUCCAGCAGACUGGACCAAUGUUAAUCUUACACAUGUUGAUUGAUGUCUCAGGUCUCCCUAAAAUGUGUAGAACAAAACUGCUCUGACCACCUUGCACAUACGUUGUCAUGACCUCCUGAGGCCAUGUCAUAGGUGUGCAUCCUCAAUCUCGGCAAAACAAACUUUCUAUAUUAACUGAGACCUGUCUUUAAUACCUUUAGGGGUUCACACUUUCAAAGGAUUGUAAUGGGUUAGAGACAAUAAAGUCUAGCACAAAGCCUAGAUAUGAUUGUUACUUAAAAGUUAUUAUUCCUAUUAAUAUUCUAUAUAACAGUUUUUCUUCUUCAUAUACUGAUUUCAAUUUUCAGCUCAGGAGAGUUUCUCCCAAUUCAUCCCUCCAUGCUUUACUAUCCCCAAAUUUUAUCUCUCUCAUUAGAAAGAAAGAAUAAAAUCACCCUGUGGUGGGCACCUCUCUAACAUGGCUCUCAGUGACCCCUUCCUCCUGGUACUCACUCCCCAGUGUAAUCCUCUUUUCUUGAAUGUGGGUAAGACCAACUGACUGACUUCUAAUGCACUGAAUAGGUAAACGUUAUGGGAUGUCACUUUCUAGGAUAGGUUACAAAAGACUGUUGACUUCAUUGUAGCCCACACUCUCUUCCCUUGUUGUUUUCUCACUUGGAGGAAACCAGCUGCAAUAUUGGGAGCUGCUCUCUGGAGUAUGCCACAUAGCAGGGAAUUGAGGGAAGCUUCUGAUCAACAGCUCAUAAGGAACUAAGGCCCUCAGUCCAAUGAACUGUGAAGAUCUAAACCCCACCAACAAUCACUUAACUGAGCUUGGAAAUGACUCUAACCCCAACUGAGCCUAAGAUGACUGUAGCCCCUACUGUCCAUCACCUUGAUCCAACCUUCAUAGAGACCUAGAGCCAGAGGACUUGAAACAUAUUCCUCUGUGCUAUAACAAAUGUCACUAUGUUUUUAGGCAAGCCACUAAAUACGGGGGUAAUUUGUUAUACAGCAAUAGAUAACUAUUACAAACCUAUUCACACCAAACUUUUAUUUCCCAAACUGCUCUAUUUGUAAUAAUCCCUUUCUAGGGUAUUUAAAAAUACGUGAGUGGUUAAAGACACAUUUUAUACACAAAUGUAUUCUUACAGUUAUUUCCCUCUACCUCCAUAUGCUAGAAACUGAACAGGCAGUAAUUUUCUUCUAAGUAGAUGUCAAAUGGGAAAAAAUCUAUAUAUGAUGCUCUAGUAGGAAUAAAAAACACUGUAUUUUAAUAAAUACAUUAUAUAAUAAAGUAGUCAGAAAACAAUUUUGAGCAACUAAUUUUUGAAAAGCAACCUGAGAAAUACAGUAAGAAUACAAUGUAGUUCUCCUCCCAAGGGGGUUACAUUCUAAUUAGUAAAAUAAGAGCUAUACAGAUGAAAAGCCUACUAGUACUCUAGGUAGUAAAUGACAAAUAAGUCACACAGACAGUAAGCAAUCUGGAAAUAAAAAGAAGAAAGUAGUUUCCCAGGGUAAGCAGAGCAUGCUCUGGUUCUUUAAAAUGAUUAGAAUUAGAAAUUAACAUAAUUUUGUAGUUUAUACUUUUAUAAAUAUGAGAACUCCUUUCCUUAUGUUUAUUUCAUUCCUGAUUAUCUAUAAGCAGGGAUAGCAUUUUAUUUUACUCAUGAAUCUAUAGAAUGGUAAAAACAAAGAAAAGGUUAAAUAGUUCCCCUGAGAAUAGUGGCAGUGUUCGA
rnacentral:lncRNA from 1 species